rnacentral:rRNA from 1 species
AAAAACAGAUAAGGGCAGACGGUGGAUGCCUUGGCUCUCGGAGGCGACGAAGGACGUGAUAAGCUGCGAUAAGCUACGGGGAUUGGCACAUACAAAUUGAUCCGUAGAUUUCCGAAUGGGGCAACCCGGCAUGUAGAAGACAUGUCACACUGCAGAGCAGUGAGCGAACGUGGGGAACUGAAACAUCUAAGUACCCAUAGGAGAAGAAAACAAAAGUGAUUCCCUUAGUAGUGGCGAGCGAACGGGGACUAGCCCAAACCAGAUUUGUUUCGGCAAAACUGGGGUUGUAGGACCUCGAUAUAGGAAGACAAGAUUAGGAGAACGGUCUGGAAAGGCCGGCCAUAGAACAUGAGAGCUGUGUAUCCGAAAAUCUUCGUUGGACUUAGAGGUAUCCUGAGUAGCGCGGGACACGUGAAAUCCUGUGUGAAUCUGCGGGGCCCAUCCCGUAAGGCUAAAUACUCCCGAGAGACCGAUAGUGAACCAGUACCGUGAGGGAAAGGUGAAAAGAACCUCGAACAGAGGAGUGCAAUAGAUCCUGAACCCGUCUGCCUACAAGCGGUAGGAGCAGCCUUGUGCUGUGACUGCGUGCCUUUUGCAUAAUGAACCUACGAGUUACUUUCUCUGGCAAGGUUAAGUGAUGAAGAGUCACGUGAGCCGAAGCGAAAGCGAGUCUGAAUAGGGCGGUUUAGUCAGAGGGAGUAGACGCGAAACCAAGUGAUCUACCCUUGGUCAGGUUGAAGGUUGGGUAAAACCAACUGGAGGACCGCACCGGUAAGCGUUGAAAAGCUUUCGGAUGAACUGAGGGUAGGGGUGAAAGGCUAAUCAAACUUGGAGAUAGCUCGUACUCCCCGAAAUGCAUUUAGGUGCAGCCUGUGGAGUUUCUUACGUGAGGUAGAGCGACUGAUUGGAUGCGAGGCUUUCACCGGCUAUCAAGUCCAGACAAACUCCGAAUGCACGUUAAGUAAGAUCCACGGAGUGAGGGCAUGGGUGCUAAGGUCCAUGUCCGAGAGGAGAAGAAUCCAGACCAUCGGCUAAGGUCCCGAAAUAAUAGCUAAGUUGACCAAACGAAGUCAGAGUGCGAAGACAGCUAGGAUGUUGGCUUGGAAGCAGCCAUUCAUUUAAAGAGUGCGUAACAGCUCACUAGUCGAGUGCUUUGGCGUGGAUAAUAAUCGGGCAUAAGCUAUUUACCGAAGCUGUGGGAUGUGUAAACAUCGGUAGGGGAGCAUUCUAGCGGCGCUGAAGGUGAGAGGACAACUCUUGCUGGAGCUUCUAGAAAAGCAAAUGUAGGUAUAAGUAACGAUAAAGGAGGUGAGAAACCUCCUCGCCGAAAGACUAAGGUUUCCUGAUCAACGCUAAUCGGAUCAGGGUUAGUCGGGGCCUAAGGGGAAGCCGAAUGGCGCACCCGAUGGAAGAACCGGUUAAUAUUCCGGUACUAAUUAUGUGAGCGAUGUGGAGACGGAGAUGUGACGGUCCUGCCACCUGACGGAAUAGGUGGUUGAAGGGUGUAGGAGUUGAUCUGAGUAGGCAAAUCCGCUCGGAGAUCCGAACCUGACAGUACUCUGAGUGCUUGCACGAGGAGAUAUGGACAACUGUAACGGCGCUCCCAAGAAAAUCCGCUAAGCAUAUUGCAUGAUUACCCGUACCAUAAACCGACACAGGUGGUUGGGUUGAGUAUACUAAGGCGCUCGAGUGAUUCGCGGUUAAGGAACUAGGCAAAAUAGUCCUGUAACUUCGGAAUAAAGGACGCUCACAGUGAAGGCUGUGAGCCGCAGAGAAUAGGCCCAGGCGACUGUUUAACAAAAACACAUGGCUAUGCUAAAUCGAAAGAUACUGUAUAUAGCCUGACACCUGCCCGGUGCUGGAAGGUUAAGAGGAGAUGUCAUCGCAAGAGAAGCAUUGAAUUGAAGCCCCAGUAAACGGCGGCCGUAACUAUAACGGUCCUAAGGUAGCGAAAUUCCUUGUCGGGU